ACUUUCCACAGCAUCAGCUAUCCUCCUCUGGGUGGAGCCCUUCUUGCCCCUCCCCGUUCCUCAGCUGCAGGCAAUUAUUCUGGCAGUAUUUAGGAGCAGCGCACACAAUGAGUCUUCGCCAGAUCGUCUGCUAACCUCAUCGGUACCUGGACUCAUCAUCCAAACCCUGCCAUAGCCACGCUUCUGGAUUCCGGUCAGCUGCUGCUUGAUCCUUUUCAGGCAAAGGGCCAUUCACACCUGCCUGCCUCCCUGCACACCCGUAAAGGACUCAGUACUCGCCCGGACCUCGCCUCACCUCCAGCUUAUCCCCACUGACCCUGGUCUGCCACAGCUUCCACCUGCCCCACUCCAGCCCUCAGCAGUUUAGUGAUCUGACAGUUCCAUGCUUAGCCUAAGCCCAGCACUCACAGACAUCACGCUUUUGCACAAAGUUAAAUCUUGUUAUUGUCUUGACAAUCUCAGUUAGGAAUUCUGGCAAAUAAAAGUUUUUGUUUUUUGCAAAUCACUUCAAGCCUCCGGUCUUUUGGUUCUGCGCAUGAGUCCUUUCCACUUCACGGGCCUCUGAGCCAUGACAGGUUAGCACACAAGUCCAGUAAAACAGAAACCACCAUUCUGUCACU